UUUAAUUUUAACACCAAGUUAGUGGCAUUAGAGCUGAGUUGCUUUAUCUAUUUGAUUACUGUGAAUAAUGUGAAUCUCACUCAGUUCUCUGCUCCUUUAAAAUAUUUCAUAACUUCUAUUCUUACUUCCUUUGUCUUACAAUUUCCUAUCUGUUUGUGCCACUGAUUCAAAUAUAGUUAUACACCCCCCUCCCACUCUCUCCUCUUUCUGGCUUCUUCCUACAUCCCUUGUCUUCUCUUCUAGAGUUUUCCAUGAUUGAAAUGUCCUUGCCCACUAGCAAACCAUAUUACCUUUGUUUAUUUAUUUAAAAAAUAAUCGUCCCCUGGAGGGACAGCUCUAUGGCAGAUGACCAGAGUCCACGAGUCUCUGGGUUAGAUGCCCAGAACUGCACACACAUUUUGAAAAUGAGUAAGUAAAAGCAAAUCCCAUUGUGGGGUUGCAAAUGUCAUAAUAAUCACUAACACCUACAAGCAUGUUCAUGUUCUAGAAGUCUUCAGGCACUUGAUGUGGGCUGUCUUAUUUCCUAUUAAAUUUCUUUUGGAAAAAUUAUGCAUUAUCUAAGAAUUACUGAAAUUAACCCUCAUGAAGCAAACUUGUUUCUUGAUGACGUUAUUUUUCAAAAGUUAUUUGUUGUUGUUUACAUGAUCUUAAGAUGACGAGAUGUGUGUCACAUUUUUACCUUUCCUCCUAUUGGUCCACCGGAAGGCACUAAUAUUUCAGUGGAAUUGUAAGGAUAACACCCUACUUUUGCAGGGAAAGGGGAAUUAUUGGCCAGCAAGUAAAAUAAUGCAUAACAAACAUGAAAUAUGCAUCUCACUGAGAUUCUCAGGCAGUGUUAGCUUUCCACCUCUGUGAUGAAAUAACCAAGAUCACCGGCUCCUGGAGAGAAAGGCUUGACUCGGCGCUGUGUGGUUUCCAGCUCCUGAUUGGUUGGCCCUGUUUCAGUGUUAGCCUGUCAUCAUGCCUGACUGCGUGGUGAAGCACAGUGUCUGGACAGCAAUGAGGAAAGGGUGGGCAUCCCUCAGUCCCAUUCAGACACCUUGUCCCAGAGAUAGAGCCUGCCACAAAACCCCUUUCCCAAGGCUCCACUUACUCAGUGGCUCCACUCUAGGGGCCCGUCUUGAGGGGACGCGUAUGGUCUGCACUCUGGCUGUUGGGGACUACUUUUCCCCAAGAUAACAUUUUUCUUGGUUAUUUGGGAAUUUUGCAUGAUGCACCCUGAUACUCGGUUCCUGUACUUGGUCCUCUCCUCCCCUCCCCUUCCUUUUUCUGUUUUUAAUCAUCUAUAGUGGCUUAAGGUGUUUGAGGCACUUUUCUUCUGAAUGCCUUCGGAAGUUGGGUUUUUAUUUUGGGAAACAGCCAAAAGGCAUAUGGAGUCAUACCUGCUUAAUAACAUAGGUAAGCACUUUGGGGAAUUGUAUUUUUGUUGAAAUGUAAAUUCAAACUGCUAGGCACGGAGAGUGAUUUUUUUCCUUUUUUAUUGUACAUCUCGUGAACUACUGUAAAGGAAAAUGUCAGAGGGGCAUUAGAGGAAAGCGCUGUGGAGUGGCAGAAUGGGAAUAGCCAUAGGCCUCCCUGAGGCGACUGAAGAAUGACAUGCAGAGAUUCUUUGGUGUUCCAUAGGGGCUUUGUCCCUUCCGUUUGGUCAUAUGUCAUCCAUCAUGUGUAAUUAAUACUAUUUGAUUCAAAAAUAGCUUUAGAGUACUUUCGUCACGCUCAGCCUUCACUGUGGAUGUUAGUUGAUCGCUGAGGUGGGGGCAUGUGCCUUUGCCAUUAGAAGUUCCUAUUGAGACAUGCUGCACAGGAGUGCUGGUUUGAAAGAAAACGUACCCCGCAAAGGGGAGGGCACUGUUAGGAGGUGUGGCUUAGUAGGAGUGGGUGUGGCCGUGUUGGAGGAAGUGGACUUUGAGGUCUCCUCUGCUCGGUUUAUACACAAUGUGGCACAUAGAUCACCUCUUGUUGCCUGUGAAUCAAGAUGUCGGAACUCUUAGCCCCAGCAAGCGCUGUGUCUGCCUGAAUGCCACCAUGCUUCCCACCACGAUGGAAAUGGACUAAACCUCUGAAACCGAGGUGCAUGGCCGCGAGAGAGAUGGUCUUCCCGGUAAAGAAGUUUGCCAGCAAACCUGGCAGCCUGAGCUCAGUCCCUGGAAAGACGUGCUGGAAGGACAGGACCAACUCCCUCAAGCUGUCCUCUGACCUUGAUAAGCAUGCCUGGCAUGCACCCGCACACCCGCAUGAAUAAAUGUGAUAAUAACUUUUAAAGGAGGCUUGCUAGUGCUACAGUAUUGGAGCCUACAUUCUCCCCUGCUGAGGUGGAGCCUUCUGGUGCAUUCUUAAUUGGGUAGUGGGUAUUGUAGUUAGAUGAUAAGUUAUGGCAAAAGAGGAACAAACAUGAUUUAUUAAAACUGUGUUGCACAGAAAACAGUA